GGGGGAUAUGGCGGUGCUACACAUGCAGUCGAACGAGAACGGAACCUUCGGGUUCUCAGUACAGUGGCGCACGGGUGACUAUCGCGUGGAUAACCUACCCCUGAAUUUGGGAUAACAUCGCGAAAACGGUGCUAAUACCGGAUGACAUCAAUGAAUCUUCGGGUUUGUUGAUCAAAGAUGGCCUCUUCAUGAAAGCUAUUGUUUGGGGAUGGGUCCGCGUACCAUUAGUUUGUUGGUGGGGUAACGGCCUACCAAGACAGCGAUGGUUAGCUGGUCUGAGAGGAUGAUCAGCCACACUGGGACUGACACACGGCCCAGACUCCUACGGGAGGCAGCAGUGAGGAAUUUUGCGCAAUGGGGGAAACCCUGACGCAGCAACGCCGCGUGAGUGAUGAAGGCCCUUGGGUCGUAAAGCUCUGUCAAGUGGGAAGAAACCCCUUGUGGUGAAUAUCCACAAGGCUUGACGGUACCACUGAAGGAAGCACCGGCUAACUCCGUGCCAGCAGCCGCGGUAAUACGGAGGGUGCAAGCGUUAUUCGGAAUUAUUGGGCGUAAAGGGUGCGUAGGCUGCCCGUUAAGUCAGAUGUGAAAUCCCGGGGCUCAACCCCGGAACUGCAUUUGAUACUGGCGGGCUUGAGUAUGGGAGAGGAAAGCGGAAUUCCUGGUGUAGCGGUGAAAUGCGUAGAUAUCAGGAGGAACACCGGUGGCGAAGGCGGCUUUCUGGACCAAUACUGACGCUGAGGCACGAAGGCGUGAGGAGCAAACAGGAUUAGAUACCCUGGUAGUCCACGCAGUAAACGUUGAUCACUAGGUGUUGCGGGUAUUGACCCCUGCAGUGCCGGAGCUAACGCAUUAAGUGGUCCGCCUGGGGAGUACGGUCGCAAGAUUAAAACUCAAAUGAAUUGACG
rnacentral:rRNA from 1 species